rnacentral:rRNA from 1 species
UACGUAGGGGGCUAGCGUUGUCCGGAUUUAUUGGGCGUAAAGAGCGUGUAGGCGGCCAGGUAGGUCUGGUGUGAAAACUCGAGGCUUAACCUCGAGAUGUCAUCGGAAACCAUUUGGCUAGAGUCCGGAAGAGGAGAGUGGAAUUCCAGGUGUAGCGGUGAAAUGCGUAGAUAUCUGGAGGAACACCGGUGGCGAAGGCGGCAUCCUGGACCGGCAUUGACGCUGAGGCGCGAAAGCCAGGGGAGCAAACGGG